rnacentral:rRNA from 1 species
UACGAAGGGGGCUAGCGUUGCUCGGAAUCACUGGGCGUAAAGCGCACGUAGGCGGAUCUUUAAGUCAGGGGUGAAAUCCUGGAGCUCAACUCCAGAACUGCCUUUGAUACUGGAGAUCUCGAGUCCGGAAGAGGUGAGUGGAACUCCGAGUGUAGAGGUGAAAUUCGUAGAUAUUCGGAAGAACACCAGUGGCGAAGGCGGCUCACUGAUCCGGUACUGACGCUGAGGUGCGAGAGCGUGGGGAGCGGAACCGG